rnacentral:SRP_RNA from 1 species
GGGCAGGUCUGGCGCGGCGAAACCUUGUGAACCCCGCCAGGACCGAAAGGUAGCAACGGUAAGUAAGCGUCUUCGGGUGCCGCCAGUAACCUGCUCAGA